GACAACUAAUCAUAAAGAGAAAAGUGGAUAUUUCCAGAGCAGGGGGAAAAACUGUUUCCUAUGUGCAUCCACCAGAGAAGCUGCCUUGCAUAUGUAGGGGACAUGAUUCACAUGCAGGGACCAGAACAGUGAGUUAGGCACUAAGGACCAGGUAAACAUCACUUCAUGGGACUAAAGGAAAUGCAGGGACUCAGGCUAUGAAGCAAAACAGGAGCUCAGAUCCUCUAAUCAAGACCAUGCCAAGAUCACUUUCCAAGAAUCAUCAGCAUCCUACUGUGCUAAUGAGCUCCUGGGCUCUCUGUAACAGGGACAAGAACUGUCUCAGUCAUAUGAAGAUAUGGACCACAAAAUCGAGGCACAGAGAAGCUAGGUAAGUUUCCCCAAGUCAAAUAGCCAAUAAGUGGCAGCAUCAACUUUGAAUUGAAAUUGGUUAAGUCCUUCGACCUGUAGGUGUUAUUUACUCAACCAGUGUGCCUAUUGAAUUCUUGAGUUUUUGGUGCUUCACACAUGCUAUUUAAUCUUUUCCUUUUUUAAAAAAAGAUUUAUUCUAUUUACUUGAAAGACAGAGUUACAGAGAGAAGUAGAGGCAGAGAGAGAGGUCUUCCAUCCGCUGAUUCACUCCCCAGAUGGCUGCAACAGCAGAGCUGCACCAAUCCGAAGCCAGGAGCCAGGACCUUCUUCCAGGUCUCCCACGUGGAUGCAGGGGCUCAAGGAUUUCUUCUACUGCGAUCCUAAUGUGCCUGGAAAAGCAGUAGAAGAUGGCCCAAGAGUUUGGCCCCUGUCACCCACAUGUGAGACCUGGAAGGGAUUCUAGGUUCCUGUUUUCAGCCUAGCUCAGCCCAGGCUGAGGUUUGAGGUCAUGUGAGGAGGAUGGCAUUUGGUUUAAAACAAUUCCCAUUAUUUCCCAACAUAUCAUAGAGGAUCCAAGACAGCUCAUUUGCCUUCUGUAUUUUUUUUAAAUAUUAAA
rnacentral:lncRNA from 1 species